GACGAACGCUGGCGGCGUGCUUAACACAUGCAAGUCGAACGGAAAGGCCCUGCUUUUGUGGGGUGCUCGAGUGGCGAACGGGUGAGUAACACGUGAGUAACCUGCCCUUGACUUUGGGAUAACUUCAGGAAACUGGGGCUAAUACCGGAUAGGAGCUCCUGCUGCAUGGUGGGGGUUGGAAAGUUUCGGCGGUUGGGGAUGGACUCGCGGCUUAUCAGCUUGUUGGUGGGGUAGUGGCUUACCAAGGCUUUGACGGGUAGCCGGCCUGGGAGGGUGACCGGCCACAUGGGGACUGCGAUACGGCCCAGACUCCUACGGGAGGCAGCAGUGGGGAAUAUUGCACAAUGGGCGGAAGCCUGAUGCAGCAACGCCGCGUGCGGGAUGACGGCCUUCGGGUUGUAAACCGCUUUCGCCUGUGACGAAGCGUGAGUGACGGUAAUGGGUAAAGAAGCACCGGCUAACUACGUG
rnacentral:rRNA from 1 species